rnacentral:rRNA from 1 species
UACGUAGGGCGCAAGCGUUGUCCGGAAUUAUUGGGCGUAAAGAGCUCGUAGGUGGUUUGUCGCGUCUGCCGUGAAAGCCCGGGGCUUAACUCCGGGUCUGCAGUGGGUACGGGCAGACUAGAGUGCGGUAGGGGAGACUGGAAUUCCUGGUGUAGCGGUGAAAUGCGCAGAUAUCAGGAGGAACACCGGUGGCGAAGGCGGGUCUCUGGGCAGUAACUGACGCUGAGGAGCGAAAGCGUGGGUAGCAAACAGG